rnacentral:ncRNA from 2 species
GUUCGGUUCGUCGUCGCCGGUGCGCGUCGGCGGAUCGUCGUAAGAGGGAAUCCGGUGCGAGUCCGGAGCUGUCCCGCAGCGGUCAAUGGGAACGAGGUCGAGGGCCAGCAGGUCGGCAACGCGGCGG